GAUGAACGCUGGCGGCGUGCCUAAUACAUGCAAGUCGAGCGAACAGACGAGGAGCUUGCUCCUCUGACGUUAUCGGCCGACGGGUGAGUAACACGUGGAUAACCUACCUAUAAGACUGGGAUACCUUCGGGAAACCGGAUCUAAUACCGGAUAAUAUAUUGAACCGCAUGGGUCAAUAGUGAAAGACGGUUUUGCUGUCGCUUAUAGAUGGAUCCGCGCCGCAUUAGCUAGUUGGUAAGGUAACGGCUUACCAAGGCAACGAUGCGUAGCCGACCUGAGAGGGUGAUCGGCCAGCCUGGAACUGAGAAACGGUCCAGACUCCUACGGGAGGCAGCAGUAGGGAAUCUUACGCAAUGGACCAAAGCCUGACGGAGCAACGCCGCGUGAGUGAUGAAGGUCUUCGGAUCGUAAAACUCUGUUAUUAGGGAAGAACAAAUGUGUAAGUAACUAUGCACGUCUUGACGGUACCUAAUCAGAAAGCCACGGCUAACUACGUG
rnacentral:rRNA from 1 species